GCGGCAGGCCUAACACAUGCAAGUCGAGCGGUAACAGAAAGUAGCUUGCUACUUUGCUGACGAGCGGCGGACGGGUGAGUAAUGCUUGGGAACAUGCCUUGAGGUGGGGGACAACAGUUGGAAACGACUGCUAAUACCGCAUAAUGUCUACGGACCAAAGGGGGCUUCGGCUCUCGCCUUUAGAUUGGCCCAAGUGGGAUUAGCUAGUUGGUGAGGUAAUGGCUCACCAAGGCAACGAUCCCUAGCUGGUUUGAGAGGAUGAUCAGCCACACUGGAACUGAGACACGGUCCAGACUCCUACGGGAGGCAGCAGUGGGGAAUAUUGCACAAUGGGCGAAAGCCUGAUGCAGCCAUGCCGCGUGUGUGAAGAAGGCCUUCGGGUUGUAAAGCACUUUCAGUCAGGAGGAAAGGGUGUGAGUUAAUACCUCACAUCUGUGACGUUACUGACAGAAGAAGCACCGGCUAACUCCGUGCCAGCAGCCGCGGUAAUACGGAGGGUGCGAGCGUUAAUCGGAAUUACUGGGCGUAAAGCGUACGCAGGCGGUUUGUUAAGCGAGAUGUGAAAGCCCCGGGCUCAACCUGGGAACUGCAUUUCGAACUGGCAAACUAGAGUGUGAUAGAGGGUGGUAGAAUUUCAGGUGUAGCGGUGAAAUGCGUAGAGAUCUGAAGGAAUACCGAUGGCGAAGGCAGCCACCUGGGUCAACACUGACGCUCAUGUACGAAAGCGUGGGGAGCAAACGGGAUUAGAUACCCHGGUAGUCCACGCCGUAAACGAUGUCUACUAGAAGCUCGGAACCUCGGUUCUGUUUUUCAAAGCUAACGCAUUAAGUAGACCGCCUGGGGAGUACGGCCGCAAGGUUAAAACUCAAAUGAAUUGACGGGGGCCCGCACAAGCGGUGGAGCAUGUGGUUUAAUUCGAUGCAACGCGAAGAACCUUACCUACACUUGACAUACAGAGAACUUUCUAGAGAUAGAUUGGUGCUUCGGGAACUCUGAUACAGGUGCUGCAUGGCUGUCGUCAGCUCGUGUUGUGAGAUGUUGGGUUAAGUCCCGCAACGAGCGCAACCCCUAUCCUUAGUUGCUAGCAGGUAAUGCUGAGAACUCUAAGGAGACUGCCGGUGAUAAACCGGAGGAAGGUGGGGACGGCUACAAGUCAUCAUGGMCCUUACGUGUAGGGCDACACACGUGCUACAAUGGCGC
rnacentral:rRNA from 1 species